rnacentral:rRNA from 1 species
AGUGAACGCUGGCGGUAGGCCUAACACAUGCAAGUCGAACGGCAGCACAGUAAGAGCUUGCUCGUCCGGGUGGCGAGUGGCGGACGGGUGAGGAAUACAUCGGAAUCUACUUUUUCGUGGGUGAUAACGUAGGGCAACUUACGCUAAUACCGCAUACGACCUACGGGUGAAAGCAGGGGAUCUUCGGACCUUGCGCGACUGAAUGAGCCGAUGUCGGAUUAGCUAGUUGGCGGGGUAAAGGCCCACCAAGGCCACGAUCCGUAGCUGGUCUGAGAGGAUGAUCAGCCACACUGGAACUGAGACACGGUCCAGACUCCUACGGGAGGCAGCAGUGGGGAAUAUUGGACAAUGGGCGCAAGCCUGAUCCAGCCAUACCGCGUGGGUGAAGAAGGCUUUCGGGUUGUAAAGCCCUUUUGUUGGGAAAGAAAAGCAGCAGGUUAAUCCCCCGCUGUUCUGACGGUACCCAAAGAAUAAGCACCGGCUAACUUCGUG